GACGAACGCUGGCGGCGUGCCUAAUACAUGCAAGUCGAACGCAGUGGGGACGGGUGAGUAACACGUGGGUAACCUCCCAUCAGAGGGGAGAACACUUGGAAACAGGUGCUAAACCGAUACUGAUGGAGGAACCAGCGGUGCAUUAGCUAGUUGGUGAGGAAAAGGCCCACCAAGGCCACGAUGCAUAGCUGACCUGAGAGGAUGAUCGGCCACACUGGAACUGAGACACGGCCCAGACUCCUACGGGAGGCAGCAGUGGGGAAUCUUGGGCAAUGGACGAAAGUCUGACCGAGCAACGCCGCGUGAGUGAAGAAGGUUUUCGGAUCGUAAAACUCUGUUGUUAGAGAAGCGGUAUCUAACCAGAAAGCCACGGCUAACUACGUGCCAGCAGCCGCGGUAAUUC
rnacentral:rRNA from 1 species